rnacentral:rRNA from 1 species
AUUGAACGCUGGCGGCAGGCCUAACACAUGCAAGUCGAGCGCGCGGCGGACGGGUGAGUAAUGUAUGGGGACUGCCCGAUAGAGGGGGCUAACUACUGGAAACGGUGGCUAAUACCGCAUACUGUAGGAUACCCCAUAUGGGGUUAGAUAGUAGGUAAGGUAAUGGCUUAGCUCGGCGACGCUCCCUAUCUGGUAUGAGAGGAUGAUCAGCCACACUGGGACUGAGACACGGUCCAGACUCCUACGGAGGCAGCAGUGGGGAAUAUUGCACAAUGGGCGAAAGCCUGAUGCAGCCAUGCCGCGUGUAUGAAGAAGGCCCUAGGGUUGUAAAGUACUUUCAGUCGGGAGGCGUUACCGACAGAAGAAGCACCGGCUAACUCCGUGCCAGCAGCCGCGGUAAUUC